UCUAGCUUCUAGCUCUCUGCAAUUCUUACAUGGUUGCCCACUGAAGCUACGCUAAGCAGGGCUGCGCCUGGUCAGUACCUGGAUGGGAGACCACAUGGGAAAGCUAAGUUGCUGCCGGAA
ensembl:rRNA 5S_rRNA 5S ribosomal RNA